rnacentral:rRNA from 1 species
UACGUAGGGGGCAAGCGUUGUCCGGAAUCAUUGGGCGUAAAGAGCGUGUAGGCGGCCAGGUAGGUCCGUUGUGAAAACUCGAGGCUUAACCUCGAGACGUCGAUGGAAACCAUCUGGCUAGAGUCCGGAAGAGGAGAGUGGAAUUCCUGGUGUAGCGGUGAAAUGCGCAGAUAUCAGGAAGAACACCCGUGGCGAAGGCGGCUCUCUGGGACGUGACUGACGCUGAGACGCGAAAAGCGUGGGGGAGCAAACAGG